UACGUAGGGUGCGAGCGUUGUCCGGAAUUACUGGGCGUAAAGCGCGCGUAGGUGGUUCAGUAAGUUGAAGGUGAAAUCCCCGGGCUCAACCUGGGAACUGCCUCCAAAACUGCUGAGCUAGAGUAUGGUAGAGGGUAGUGGAAUUUCCUGUGUAGCGGUGAAAUGCGUAGAUAUAGGAAGGAACACCAGUGGCGAAGGCGACUACCUGGACUAAUACUGACACUGAGGUGCGAAAGCGUGGGGAGCAAACAGG
rnacentral:rRNA from 1 species